rnacentral:rRNA from 1 species
UCCAGACUCCUACGGGAGGCAGCAGUGGGGAAUAUUGCACAAUGGGGGGAACCCUGAUGCAGCGACGCCGCGUGGGUGAAGAAGUCAUUCGUGACGUAAAGCCCUAUCAGCAGGGAAGAAAAUGACGGUACCUGACUAAGAAGCCCCGGCUAACUACGUGCCAGCAGCCGCGGUAAUACGUAGGGGGCAAGCGUUAUCCGGAUUUACUGGGUGUAAAGGGAGCGUAGACGGCGGCGCAAGUCCGGAGUGAAAGCCCGCGGCCCAACCGUGGGACUGCUCUGGAAACUGUGCGGCUUGAGUGCGGGAGGGGCAGGCGGAAUUCCUAGUGUAGCGGUGAAAUGCGUAGAUAUUAGGAGGAACACCAGUGGCGAAGGCGGCUUACUGGACAGUAACUGACGUUGAGGCUCGAAAGCGUGGGGAGCAAACAGGAUUAGAUACCCCCGUAGC